GGCCCUGGCAGGGGCUCUGAGCUCUCCCUGGAGCCUUCUCCUCUCCAGGGGAACAUUCUCAGCCUGUGCUAAACUAGCACAGACCCACUGCCCACCUCCCCGACCAAGGGAUGUGCAAUUUGUCUUUACCACUAAGGAAAAUGAUGUAAUGCCUCUGGAUGUUGGAGCAACCCAAGUUUCACAUCAAGGAUAUGACAAGGGCGCUUUCUAGCCUGCCCUGCUGGACAUUCGGGGCCUACCAGAGCCCAGGGUUCACCACGUGAGACGUGACAUUGGCCAGCAGAGGGGAUUUGCCAGCAGACUGCUUUGAAGUGCCCAGGAACUGGAGUCAUCUCCUUCCUUGGAUGCAGGCUUCACCUGCUCUACCUGCGGCUGUCCUUGGGCAUCCCUAGCCAUGGCUAUCUCCAGGCUGAUCAUUCACAAAUCUCCAUACUCUGCUCUCCCCCUGCAGCUGUGCUCCAGAUCCCUCUGCUCCCAGCACUGCUUUGAUGGGUACGUACUCAGAAAGGAGUGUGGUUUUUUUUCUCGGCCAUGCCACAUCCCAAGCUGUGUGCCAGAUCCAUGCUCUCCCUGGGUGGUGUUCUCAUGCAAAAUUCAACAUCCACUCUGUCCACUGCUUUACAAUCCUCAGUCCUCACAUCUCACCUGCUAUAGCCUCCUCCUUGAACAUCCUUCAUGUCUUCAGUGGCCUUCUUUGGCUCACAGGAGAGAAAAUAACCUUAAUUGUCACCACUUCUGGCCACCAUGAACAGCGCAGCCAUCCACCUCGUUCGCUCCAAGUUCCCUGCUGCUUUUUUUUCCUUGUGCUUACCUUUGAAGGCUGCAGUGGCUGCUUGUCACCACCCUGGUCCUCCUCACCUCCUGUUCCUUUUACAGUCCAACGGUUCUCCCCAGCUGUCCCGUCUUCAGGUAUGGACAUGGUUUCCUUUUCGUUUGUCCUGGUUGACACCCUCAUUUUUUUCCUGCCCCAUUGGAAACUCACAGAACACUUGAUGAGCAAACCUAAUCUGAUUUCCAGCGGCCGUGGGAGGGGUUUCAGGACCGGAGGCUAUGGGAGCUCCCUAGCUGCUUGGUUUCGGCUUUCAGGCUCCACCAGCGGGAGAAGGAGCAGGCAGUCGCAGCUGCACUGUGAGCACCAGCCCCUGGCUUUGUCAUGAGUUUCAACAGGUACGGCAUUUCCAUUUUGCCAACCACAUUGCUAACAGCCACCAAAGUGCCAGCCCAUGCUGAAGAAUUCAUUUUCUGCCUCAGUUUCCUGACAAGCCAUGCUGAGAAAACCUCACGUCUUUUCCUACAAGUUUCAAGAUGCUUCAAAAAUUCUUUUUUACA